rnacentral:rRNA from 1 species
ACUCCUACGGGAGGCAGCAGUGGGGAAUAUUGCACAAUGGGCGCAAGCCUGAUGCAGCCAUGCCGCGUGUGUGAAGAAGGCCUUCGGGUUGUAAAGCACUUUCAGUAAGGAGGAAAGGUUAGUAGUUAAUACCUGCUAGCUGUGACGUUACUUACAGAAGAAGCACCGGCUAACUCCGUGCCAGCAGCCGCGGUAAUACGGAGGGUGCGAGCGUUAAUCGGAAUUACUGGGCGUAAAGCGUACGCAGGCGGUUUGUUAAGCGAGAUGUGAAAGCCCGGGGCUCAACCUCGGAAUUGCAUUUGAAACUGGCAGACUAGAGUACUGUAGAGGGGGGUAGAAUUUCAGGUGUAGCGGUGAAAUGCGUAGAGAUCUGAAGGAAUACCGGUGGCGAAGGCGGCCCCCUGGACAGAUACUGACACUCAGAUGCGAAAGCGUGGGAGCAAACAGGAUUAGAUACCCUGGUAGACUGUCAU